UGACGGUAUUCGAGGAAUAAGCAUCGGCUAACUCUGUGCCAGCAGCCGCGGUAAGACAGAGGAUGCAAGUGUUAUUCGGAUUGAUUGGGCGUAAAGCGUCUGUAGGCGGUUUGGAAAGUCUUUUGUGAAAUUCUUCAGCUCAACUGGGGGUCCGCAAAAGAAACUUCUAGGCUUGAGGGAAGUAGAGGUACAGGGAAUUUCCGGUGGAGCGGUGAAAUGCGUAGAUAUCGGAAGGAACACCAAUAUGGCGAAGGCACUGUACUGGGCUUUACCUGACGCUAAGAGACGAAAGCUAAAGGAGUGAUUAGGAUUAGAUACCCUAGUAAUUUUAGCCGUAAACGAUGGAAACUCACUGCCGAGCCGGUAUUCGGAGCGGUGGUCAAGCUAACGCGUGAAGUUUCCCGCCUGGGGACUACGCAUGCAAAUGUGAAACUCAAAGGAAUUGACGGGGACCCGCACAAGCGGUGGAGUAUGUGGUUUAAUUCGAUGCAACGCGAAAAACCUUACCAAGGUUUGAAAUCAUUUCAAAACUCUUUGAAAGAAGAGCCUCCUUCGGGAUGGAAUGACAGGUGGUGCAUGGCUGUCGUCAGCUCGUGUUGUGAAAUGUCAAGUUAAGUCUUGUAACGAGCGCAACCCAUGUCUUUUGUUGCUGUUUACAGUGCUUAAAAGAGACUGCCGCUCUACAGCGGAGGAAGGUGUGGAUGAUGUCAAGUCAGCAUGCCCCUUAUAUCUUGGGCUACACACGUACUACAAUGGUAGGGACAAUGAGUCGCAAACCUGCGAAGGCUAGCCAAUCUCAAAAACCCUAUCUCAGUUCGGAUUGUACUCUGCAACUCGAGUGCAUGAAGGUGGAAUCGCUAGUAAUCGCUGGUCAGCAUACAGCGGUGAAUACGUUCCCGGGUCUUGUACACACUGCCCGUCACACCAUGGAAGUCGAUCCUUCCCUAAGUCGUUACUCGAACCUUUUAGGACGAGGAUGCCGAAGGCAGGGUUGGUGACUAGGGUGAAGUCGUAACAAGGUAACC
rnacentral:rRNA from 2 species